rnacentral:rRNA from 1 species
UUGACCUCGGAUCAGGUAGGGAUACCCGCUGAACUUAAGCAUAUCAAUAAGCGGAGGAAAAGAAACCAACAGGGAUUGCCCCAGUAACGGCGAGUGAAGCGGCAAGAGCUCAAAUUUGAAAGCUGGCUCCUUCGGGGUCCGCAUUGUAAUUUGCAGAGGAUGUUUCGGGAGCGGCCCCCAUCUAAGUGUCCUGGAACGGACCGUCAUAGAGGGUGAGAAUCCCGUAUGGGAUGGGGUGCCCGCGCCCAUGUGAAACUCCUUCGACGAGUCGAGUUGUUUGGGAAUGCAGCUCUAAAUGGGUGGUAAAUUUCAUCUAAAGCUAAAUAUUGGCCGGAGACCGAUAGCGCACAAGUAGAGUGAUCGAAAGAUGAAAAGCACUUUGAAAAGAGAGUUAAAAAGCACGUGAAAUUGUUGAAAGGGAAGCGUUUGCGAUCAGACUCGCCGACGGGGUUCAGCCUGCCUUCGGGCAGGUGUACUUCCCCGCCGGCGGGCCAGCGUCGGUUUGGGCGGCCGGUCAAAGGCUCUGGGAAUGUAACGCCUCUCGGGGCGUCUUAUAGCCCAGGGUGUCAUGCGGCCUGCCCGGACCGAGGAACGCGCUUCGGCUCGGACGCUGGCAUAAUGGUCGUAAACGACC